rnacentral:rRNA from 1 species
UGGGGAAUAUUGCACAAUGGGCGCAAGCCUGAUGCAGCCAUGCCGCGUGUGUGAAGAAGGCCUUCGGGUUGUAAAGCACUUUCAGCGAGGAGGAAGGUGGUGAGCUUAAUACGCUCAUCAAUUGACGUUACUCGCAGAAGAAGCACCGGCUAACUCCGUGCCAGCAGCCGCGGUAAUACGGAGGGUGCAAGCGUUAAUCGGAAUUACUGGGCGUAAAGCGCACGCAGGCGGUUUGUUAAGUCAGAUGUGAAAUCCCCGGGCUCAACCUGGGAACUGCAUUUGAAACUGGCAAGCUAGAGUCUCGUAGAGGGGGGUAGAAUUCCAGGUGUAGCGGUGAAAUGCGUAGAGAUCUGGAGGAAUACCGGUGGCGAAGGCGGCCCCCUGGACGAAGACUGACGCUCAGGUGCGAAAAGCGUGGGGCAGCAAACAGGAUUAGAUACCCUGGUAGUCCAGCGCUGUAAACGAUGUCGAUUUUGGAGGUUGUGCCCUUGAGGCGUGGCUUCCGGAGCUAACGCGUUAAAUCGACCGCCUGGGGAGUACGGCC